GCUGGGGCUCGUGAAAGCUGCCCACGAUGGCAAAGCAGGUAUGUAAGCAUUUUACUAGGGCCAGGCGAAUGCCAUGGAAAGCAGCCAGCUUAACUUAUCUGCUCAAAUGGACUGGGGUACCACGAGGUACAGACACUGAGAGAAGUCACAAGAGGUUAGUAGAGUGCCUUGCCAAGUCAGGGUCUCUAAUGAAAGCCACCAUUUGGAUCCUACUAUUUGUAGGGCCUUCAACAGCUAAAAGGACACCAAGAACAGCAUCUGCCACGAGAUCUCCCAUCCUUCUCACUACUCUAACCUUGGAAUAUCCAUUGGCAAUUAGGCGAGUCAGCAACACUGUGAGAUGGAUGGGGUGAGCCCUGCAUGACAGACGGGACCCAGAGAACGGGAAAGGUCACCAGCUUACCCAGACCGAGGAGAGGCUUUUCCUGCUGGCUUCAAAGAAAGUAAGUUUCUAGGCCAUGUUAGGACCUGAGGGUGGCCUUGAGGAGAUGCAUGGACUGUCAGCCAGCGAAGAAACAGGGACCUCAGUACCGCAACCAAAACUCAAAAUCUACCAACAACCUCAAGGAGGAUGAAAGGACAGCCCAGACUCAGAAAGAACUCGGUCCAGCCAACACGUUGAUUUUAGCCUCAUAAGACCCUGAGCGGAAAAUCCAG